CGCGAUCAUGGCCGUCCGGGCGGCCGCCAUGCUGGUCGGCAUCGCGCUGGCCGGCACCCUGGCGGGCCGGGCCGGGAUCGUCCCGGUGAUCGCGG
rnacentral:tRNA from 1 species